rnacentral:rRNA from 1 species
CCUACGGGGGGCAGCAGUGGGGAAUAUUGGACAAUGGGGGCAACCCUGAUCCAGCCAUGCCGCGUGUGUGAAGAAGGCCCUCGGGUUGUAAAGCACUUUCAGUGAGGAAGAACGCCUGGUGGUUAAUACCCAUCAGGAAAGACAUCACUCACAGAAGAAGCACCGGCUAACUCCGUGCCAGCAGCCGCGGUAAUACGGGGGGUGCGAGCGUUAAUCGGAAUUACUGGGCGUAAAGCGCGCGUAGGUGGCUUGAUAAGCCGGUUGUGAAAGCCCCGGGCUCAACCUGGGAACGGCAUCCGGAACUGUCAAGCUAGAGUGCAGGAGAGGAAGGUAGAAUUCCCGGUGUAGCGGUGAAAUGCGUAGAGAUCGGGAGGAAUACCAGUGGCGAAGGCGGCCUUCUGGACUGACACUGACACUGGGGUGCGAAAGCGUGGGUAGCAAACAGGAUUAGAUACCCCGGUAGUC